CCAGGUUUUGGAUCUUGCAGUACGAUCGCCUUAGAGUUGUCCUGGCUCAGGAUGAACGCUAGCUACAGGCUUAACACAUGCAAGUCGAGGGGCAGCAUGAAGUCAGUUUGCUGACUUUGAUGGCGACCGGCGCACGGGUGAGUAACGCGUAUCCAACCUGCCCAUUACUCGGGUAUAGCCCACUGAAAAGUGGAUUAACCCCCGAUAUGUUUCCCGCAGACAUCUAAAGGAAAUGAAAGUUUACGGUAAUGGAUGGGGAUGCGUCCGAUUAGCUUGUUGGCGGGGUAACGGCCCACCAAGGCGACGAUCGGUAGGGGUUCUGAGAGGAAGGUCCCCCACAUUGGAACUGAGACACGGUCCAAACUCCUACGGGAGGCAGCAGUGAGGAAUAUUGGUCAAUGGACGGAAGUCUGAACCAGCCAAGUAGCGUGCAGGAUGACGGCCCUAUGGGUUGUAAACUGCUUUUAUAUGGGAAUAACGGACGCCACGUGUGGCGUUGUGCAUGUACCAUAAGAAUAAGGACCGGCUAAUUCCGUGCCAGCAGCCGCGGUAAUACGGAAGGUCCGGGCGUUAUCCGGAUUUAUUGGGUUUAAAGGGAGCGUAGGCCGCCUUUUAAGCGUGUUGUGAAAUGUAGACGCUCAACGUCUGCACUGCAGCGCGAACUGGAGGGCUUGAGUGCGCGGGAAGUUGGCGGAAUUCGUUGUGUAGCGGUGAAAUGCUUAGAUAUGACGAAGAACUCCGAUUGCGAAGGCAGCUGACUGUAGCGUUACUGACGCUGAAGCUCGAAGGUGCGGGUAUCGAACAGGAUUAGAUACCCUGGUAGUCCGCACAGUAAACGAUGGAUGCUCGCUGUUGGCCUGUACAGGUCAGUGGCCAAGCGAAAGCGUUAAGCAUCCCACCUGGGGAGUACGCCGGCAACGGUGAAACUCAAAGGAAUUGACGGGGGCCCGCACAAGCGGAGGAACAUGUGGUUUAAUUCGAUGAUACGCGAGGAACCUUACCCGGGCUUAAAUUGCAGCGGAACGAUUCAGAGAUGAUGAGGUCCUUCGGGACUGCUGCGAAGGUGCUGCAUGGUUGUCGUCAGCUCGUGCCGUGAGGUGUCGGCUUAAGUGCCAUAACGAGCGCAACCCCUUUCCUCAGUUGCCAUCAGGUUAAGCUGGGCACUCUGGGGACACUGCCACCGUAAGGUGUGAGGAAGGUGGGGAUGACGUCAAAUCAGCACGGCCCUUACGUCCGGGGCUACACACGUGUUACAAUGGCGCAUACAGAAAGUCGGCCUCUGGCAACAGAGGUCCAAUCAAGAAAAUGCGUCGUAGUUCGGAUUGGGGUCUGCAACCCGACCCCAUGAAGCUGGAUUCGCUAGUAAU
rnacentral:rRNA from 1 species